rnacentral:lncRNA from 1 species
UCAAGAGCCAACACUUGCACCACCUCCUCCUGGAAGCUUAGAACCUUUCUCCAAACUAGGAUUAUUCCCUCCUAAGACCUCUCACAUCUUUUAGCUUGUGCCUUUUUUGCAGGUGCUUUGAUUCCACUUGUACUUCAACCAUCUGUGAGCUACUUCUAUUCUCUUUAGGAGACUGGCAACUUCCUAAAGGCAGAGGGGAGGAAACAGUGGAAACUCAGAGAUGCAGACAUUUGCCUAAGGAUAUACAGAAGAUAAGGAGCAGAGCUGACAUCAGAACUCAAGCUUGCAAAUGUGUAUGCGGGCCACCAUGCCACAUCUGCCACCUCUCUCACAGCACUGCUGGGGGAACAGGAGAAGCAUUGGAGGUGGCAGGCUUUGCCUUACUACACAUGGCAUAUGCAUUUUAAAUAAGGACUUUGAUCUGGAAGCAGGAGAGCAUAUUUAUUGCCUCAACUCAGCUUGAUUUGGGCUCUUCUGUCCCACAAAUGACACCAACCCUCACCGGCCUGAAGACCUUGCCUGAAAGAGAAAGAGCAGUGGCGUGAAGUCAGAAGAGCCACCCAGAGGUAGAUCCUGUUACUGUCAUCACGGCUACCUGAUCAGAAAACUGAAGUUCCAAACACAAGAACUGCAUUGCGAGUGGAUUUUCA